rnacentral:lncRNA from 1 species
CUGAAGCCUCUGAAUAUUUCCAUGGAGUUGGUACUGCCAAUUAUAGCAUCAUCCAGGCUGCCCCUUUCUCAUUUGCAGACAUAGCACAGCACUGACUUGGAAAGAUGUCAGUGGUGGAGAAGCUGACUCCACCUGUCAAUGCCUGUCUCUGUGCACAGACAGGACUCCACAGCUCUGCAUGUGCUAAGACCCAGUGUGGCGGAAGGAACUGCUGUUUGUUGUUUUUCUUCAGUAAAAUG